UACGUAGGGGGCAAGCGUUGUCCGGAUUUAUUGGGCGUAAAGAGCGUGUAGGCGGCCGUACAGGUCAGCUGUGAAAACUCGAGGCUCAACCUCGAGACGUCGGUUGAAACCGUACGGCUAGAGUCCGGAAGAGGAGAGUGGAAUUCCCGGUGUAGCGGUGAAAUGCGCAGAUAUCAGGAGGAACACCGGUGGCGAAGGCGGGUCUCUGGGGCCGAUACUGACGCUGAGGAGCGAAAGCGUGGGGAGCGAACAGG
rnacentral:rRNA from 1 species